rnacentral:misc_RNA from 1 species
GAAAUGCGAUAAGUAGUGUGAAUUGCAGAAUUCAGUGAAUCAUCGAAUCUUUGAACGCACAUUGCGCCCUUUGGUAUUCCAAAGGGCAUGCCUGUUCUAGCGUCAUUUGUACCCUCAAGCUUUGCUUGGUGUUGGGCGUCUUGUCUCUAGCUUUGCUGGAGACUCGCCUUAAAGUAAUUGGCAGCCGGCCUACUGGUUUCGGAGCGCAGCACAAGUCGCACUCUCUAUCAGCAAAGGUCUAGCAUCCAUUAAGCCUUUUUUCAACUUUUGACCUCGGAUCAGGUAGGGAUACCCGCUGAACUUAAGC